rnacentral:rRNA from 1 species
GAUGAACGCUGGCGGCGUGCCUAAUACAUGCAAGUCGAGCGAACAGAUGAGGAGCUUGCUCCUCUGACGUUAGCGGCGGACGGGUGAGUAACACGUGGAUAACCUACCUAUAAGACUGGGAUAACUUCGGGAAACCGGAGCUAAUACCGGAUAAUAUAUUGAACCGCAUGGUUCGAUAGUGAAAGACGGUUUUGCUGUCACUUAUAGAUGGAUCCGCGCCGCAUUAGCUAGUUGGUAAGGUAACGGCUUACCAAGGCAACGAUGCGUAGCCGACCUGAGAGGGUGAUCGGCCACACUGGAACUGAGACACGGUCCAGACUCCUACGGGAGGCAGCAGUAGGGAAUCUUCCGCAAUGGGCGAAAGCCUGACGGAGCAACGCCGCGUGAGUGAUGAAGGUCUUCGGAUCGUAAAACUCUGUUAUUAGGGAAGAACAAAUGUGUAAGUAACUAUGCACGUCUUGACGGUACCUAAUCAGAAAGCCACGGCUAACUACGUG